rnacentral:rRNA from 1 species
AGCGGAGGAAAAGAAACCAACUGGGAUUACCUUAGUAACGGCGAGUGAAGCGGUAAAAGCUCAAAUUUGAAAUCUGGUACUUUCAGUGCCCGAGUUGUAAUUUGUAGAAUUUGUCUUUGAUUAGGUCCUUGUCUAUGUUCCUUGGAACAGGACGUCAUAGAGGGUGAGAAUCCCGUUUGGCGAGGAUACCUUUUCUCUGUAAGACUUUUUCGAAGAGUCGAGUUGUUUGGGAAUGCAGCUCAAAGUGGGUGGUAAAUUCCAUCUAAAGCUAAAUAUUGGCGAGAGACCGAUAGCGAACAAGUACAGUGAUGGAAAGAUGAAAAGAACUUUGAAAAGAGAGUGAAAAAGUACGUGAAAUUGUUGAAAGGGAAGGGCAUUUGAUCAGACAUGGUGUUUUUUGCAUGCACUCGCCUCUCGUGGGCUUGGGCCUCUCAAAAAUUUCACUGGGCCAACAUCAAUUCUGGCAGCAGGAUAAAUCAUUAAGAAUGUAGCUACUUCGGUAGUGUUAUAGCUUUUUGGAAUACUGUUAGCCGGGAUUGAGGACUGCGCUC